ACCGCCCCCUCGCCACCAUGCAGCCUUGCCCCCGGAGCUUUGCGUCGGACAGACAUUGAAAACCAUGAGUGUUGCAGUCCGGAGGGAGUAGAUGGGGCGGCUCAACCACACAGAACUAGUUAGCAGCAGCACGGAAUUUGGCAGCAAGUGUCAGAGGGGAAGAAAAACAAGCCAGCCAGUCUUGGCCACCUUUCCCUAGAUAUUAAAAGGAACAUCCUGUGCAAAGGAAAGGUUUAGAGUGAUUCACACACCAGAAGACACAAUUAAACCCCAUGAGCUGUUUUCAUCUCAAGUUGGAGAGAAGAGGAGGAGGAAGCCAACAGAGGGAGCCUGACCUUCUCUUACUCCAAGCUGCCGAGGAGCCCAUGACCUGUAGCCCGUGACCAUCAACGGCCAGCAGUCUGUCCGUUACAUGUCCUCUGUCGUCGUCGUGACGCACUCAGGGUAUAAGGAAAUCUACGCCACAGAGAACAAGUGAAAGGAGGAAGAGGAGAGCUGCCUUGCUGUGUAGCACAUGUUACGAAACAAGUAGACUAAAGCACCCUUAGAAGAAUUUGACAUGAUCCUGCCAUAACCUUGAGCGAGGACAAAACAGCCAUUUCAAACUUAAAACAAAGGAAGAGAAAAGAGCAAACAGCAGCUGAGGACACAGGGCCAGCCCAGGGAGCCCCUCGCAGCCCUAUUUCUGACCCCACGGCAAUGAGGAUGCAAAAGAAUACGCAAAGACUCUUACGGCU